rnacentral:rRNA from 1 species
AUUGAACGCUGGCGGCAGGCCUAACACAUGCAAGUCGAACGAGUGGCGGACGGGUGAGUAAUGUCUGGGAAACUGCCUGAUGGGGGGGGAUAACUACUGGAAACGGUAGCUAAUACCGCAUACCAUCGGAUGUGCCCAGAUGGGAUUAGCUAGUGGGGGGGGUAACGGCUCACCUGGGCGACGAUCCCUAGAGGGUCUGAGAGGAUGACGAGCCACACUGGAACUGAGACACGGUCCAGACCCGUACGGGAGGAAGCAGUGGGGAAUAUUGCACAAGGGGGGCAAGCCUGAUGCAGCCAUGCGGCGGGGAUGAAGAGGGCCUUCGGGUUGUAAAGUACUUUCAGCGGGGAGGCGUUACCCGCAGAAGAAGCACCGGCUAACUCCGUGCCAGCCGCCGCGGUAAUAC